rnacentral:lncRNA from 10 species
GGCAAAGUCAAAUUAAAUUCCAUCGUCAAAAAAGGCUGCCAGCUGGUGUUUGAGUUGAAACCUUUUUGCCAAGAAGGAAGGCGCUAUAUUCCUUGUCCAGGAAGAUGCUAUGGCUCUGCUCUCACAAGUGGAUUAAUGCUGUUAUCAUGAGAGUGGGUUAGUUGCCACUAGAAUGAGUUUCUGAUAAAAGGGAAGAAAUCUUAAAAGUUUGAGAAGAAAAUAUGGUAAAUAACUAAGAGAAAUCUCUGGUCAAUACUCAACAAGUCCUUCAGUCCAACAAUAUUCCAUACAUGAAAUCCUGCCAAAAACCAGGUGCUGUAUGAGUGAGCUGUGGCUGCCAUAGCAAGACAUCAUAGAUUGGAUGGCUUAAACAACAGAAAUUUAUUUUUUCACAGUUCUGGAGGCCAGAAAUCCCCAAUAAAGGAACUGGAUUGAAGAUAAGAUUGGAGGACCACAAUUUCACCAGUACGUUACUUAGAAUAAGCAACUAGGUCCUCACAACAAUCCCUAUUUUCCAGAUGAGAGUGUUGAGGCUCAGAGAGGUAAGCAAAUUGUUUAACUUAUUCCAGCUCUCAAG